UUGUGUUGUUAUUUGUGAUUAUUGAUUAUUUAUUGAAGAAUUGUGAAGGGUGUGGUGCUUUGUGCACUUUAUUCAAGAAUUAUUAAAGAUUGUUCUGGUGCUUUUACAAGUGUGUCUGGGACGUCUGUCUGGUGGGUUCAACGGGGCAAUAGAGACCCCUAGUGUCCACAAUUGGCGUAGUCGGCAGGAUUCUGGCCGUCUAUUUGCUCAGAAAACCUUUGAAAUUUGACGUGGACCGAACCCCCAGACAGCGACACACUAAACUGCCAAACCCGUUUCGACCAUUCAUCAUGGGGAAAAAGAAAAUGACGAAGCCGACCGACAGUGCUGAGGGAAGUCUGUUGCAAAAUAUCCCCUGCGUCCAGAAGGAGCAACGGAGCGACGCCAUCAUACAGCGAGACAUUUUUCCGGGUGCCGAUAACAAAGACGAGGUAUGUGCCGGGGGAGGGAUUGAAAACAUCUUUAAAAUAACCCAUUUUGUCCCCUGCUCAUACCUCGUAGAUGACGUGCACCCGGAGGUCAUCAUUAAUACGGCAAGUCAUCCCGAAGAUGGUCGUACAUUAUCCGAGGGGAAAGAAAGCACGGAAGACUUCCGCAGGAGAUCGGACAGCCUAGAACACAUGACCAGCCCCGAUGCAUCACGGGAAGGAGAAGGUCAACUGCGGUCCGUAGGCUGGAGUCAAGACCCCUUGAUGGACGCGGUUUGAUCGAAAAGGGAGGGGAAGGCGGACGAAGCGUCGCACGCCACAAUUAACAGGUAAGGAGUUUCGGGGAAUGAUCGAUCGAUCCACCAUAAAAUUGAGUCAGGCGGAUCACAGUCGACUUGAAGUCAAUCUCUGAAACUCCAAUUCCCAAAAGGCAGUGCGAGGCCCAACUGCACAGGCGCAGGUGACGCCUACCGGCUCCAGGUCGGAGGACAAGGAUUUUAAAAGUCUGAGAUUGUCACCAGCCGAUCGAGCAGGGGACUUAAAUGUACGGGAGCUGGAAAGGUUAAUCCAACCUAUAUCAAGUAUUUUCCAGGUCAUCACCUCGAUGAAGGAAAUCAUCGAAGAAUUGGGAGCGACGGCCAAGGCACCUUUAAGGCGGAUGAAUGAAUAUUUACGCCACUUCGGACGGGAGUUUUCCCAGAUGACAGAUUCGGCAGUACAGGGAAACCCAAACUGUGAGUAAGCGCCAAAAAGAAAAGGAGAACCCACAGGAAAAGCCGGGAACUCCUGACAAAGAGCUUGUGUGGAGGGGACACUCUCCGCAUGGGCGGGGAGACAGUCCACCCUCAGCUGGCCAAAGGGCAACGCAGAUGUUGCCAGCUUUCUUCCAGUCCCGCAGGACAUUACAGUCUGGGAGGCGGCUGUGUUAUGAAUGCCAUCGGCCGGGCCAUUAUUGGGAGAAACCAUGGUCCGGUCAGUGCAGACAGUCCCUCCCAAGAAAGGAUUACCCUAGCGGGGCUGGCCGCUUCGCAUUAUAAUGCUCAGCUGGGGGAGGAAUACUGUCAUGGUCGCCCGGAGGUUCAGUAUGACCGGGACGUCUCUGAAAGAAAAGAAGGAGGAAGAUCAGGCUUUUCAGGGCACUGCAUCCCCCAGGACGCUAGGUGGCAGCUCCCCUGG